GGCGUAAGGGUGCGUAACACGUGGGUAAUCUACCGCGAAGACUGGAAUAACCCCGAGAAAUCGGGGCUAAUACCGGAUGUAAUUGCCGGAGGGCCUCCUCUGGCGAUCAAAGUUGGGGACCGCAAGGCCUGACACUUCGCGAUGAGCCCGCGGCCUAUCAGCUAGUUGGUGGGGUAAUGGCUCACCAAGGCGAAGACGGGUAGCUGGUCUGAGAGGACGACCAGCCACACUGGAAUUGAGACACGGUCCAGACACCUACGGGUGGCAGCAGUCGAGAAUUUUUCACAAUGGGCGAAAGCCUGAUGGAGCGACGCCGCGUGGGGGAUGAAUGGCUUCGGCCCGUAAACCCCUGUCAUUCGGGAUCAAUGCGUCUGGCCUAACACGCCAGACGUCGCUAGUACCGGAAGAGGAAGGGACGGCUAACUCUGUGCCAGCAGCCGCGGUAAUACAGAGGUCCCAAGCGUUGUUCGGAUUCACUGG
rnacentral:rRNA from 1 species